GACGUAGGAUGCAAGCGUUGUCCGGAUUUAUUGGGCGUAAAGAGUUCGUAGGCGGUUUGUUAAGUCUGAUGUUCACGAUCGGGGCCCAACCCCGAAACUGCAUUGGAUACUGGCAGACUCGAGUGUGGUAGAGGUAAGUGGAAUUUCUGGUGUAGCGGUGAAAUGCGUAGAUAUCAGAAAGAACACCAGUGGCGUAGGCGACUUACUGGGCCAUAACUGACGCUGAGGAACGAAAGCCAGGGGAGCAAAUGGG
rnacentral:rRNA from 1 species